rnacentral:rRNA from 1 species
CUCGUAGGUGGCCAACUAAGUCAGACGUGAAAUCCCUCGGCUUAACCGGGGAACUGCAUCUGAUACUGGAUGGCUUGAGAUUGGGAGAGGGAUGCGGAAUUCCAGGUGUAGCGGUGAAAUGCGUAGAUAUCUGGAGGAACACCGGUGGCGAAGGCGGCAUCCUGGACCAACACUGACGCUGAGGCGACGGAAAGCCGAAGGGGAGACGAAACG